ACAACUUUCAACAACGGAUCUCUUGGCUCUCGCAUCGAUGAAGAACGUAGCGAAUUACGAUAUGUAAUGUGAAUUGCAGAAUUCAGUGAAUCAUCGAAUCUUUGAACGCACCUUGCGCUCUUUGGUAUUCCGAAGAGCAUGCCUGUUUGAGUGUCAU
rnacentral:rRNA from 1 species